GUUGGUGGAGUGAUUUGUCUGCUUAAUUGCGAUAACGAACGAGACCUUAACCUACUAAAUAGUUACGCCGACCCUUGCGUCGGCGGGCAACUUCUUAGAGGGACUUUUGCGUGUUUUAACCAAAGGAAGUUUGAGGCGAUAACAGG
rnacentral:rRNA from 1 species